GUGUAGUUUGAAAGGAGAGCAAGUUAGCGCUCCCCUAGACAAGGAUAGAAUCACGUAAAUGGCUGAAAGAGGUACUAGAUCAGAAGAUUAAGCUGAAGUUAUGC
rnacentral:ncRNA from 1 species